GCCGAGGUAGCUCAGUCGGUAGAGCAGAGGACUGAAAAUCCUCGUGUCGGGGGUUCAAUUCCCUCCCUCGGCACCA
rnacentral:tRNA from 1 species